UUUUACAUUGCUACAUUUUGGUGAAAAGCAGGAGUAACCAUUGUAUCAUUGUUUAUGUUAUUAUCUAUUCUGCUAACUUGUGUUCUCACUUGAUGACUGUGUGUCUUCUUCUUGUCUGUAUGUCUAUAUGUCUGGAGAUAAAUAAGGGCCUAUAAUCCCAGUGCUUAAGGUGCUGAGGCAGGAGGAUCACUUGAGCCCAGGAGUUCAAGACCAGCCUGGGCAACAUAGCAAUAACGCAUCUUUAAUUUAAAAAAAAAAAAAAAAAAAAAAAAAAAAAAAGAUAAAUACCUGACUCUGUCUCUGGUGAUUUUUCAGUUAGCUUUGUUAUUGUUAAUUUGUUUUUCAUCAAUGUGAAAAUCACUAAAGAAAUUUAGGUAUCAAGAAGUUGAUUAGUCUUUAUCAGUUUAAACUGCUAACAAUGCAUUAAAUUUUCUACUGUUUCAUUAAUUUAUACAUCCUAUGCUUAUUCUCUGCCUCUACUUCAAUAUUAUUACUGCACAUUGACAUAAAAUUAUUGACACUGAGAUUAUAAAUAUAUUUAUUCUUGUUAUUGAAAUGUAUUCGAAUACUUUGCAACUUUCCUUAUAUUAUCAAACCCCUUGGGUGGUUUGACAUAACUGAUGUCCCGACCUCAGAAUAACUAUAAACUACACGCAUAGUUUGUAAAAGUACACAAAUACAGUUUUAUAACAUUCUCUUAUAUAUAACAUCACCUGCCUGCUUAUAACAUUACCUGAUUAGCUUCUAAGCUACCCUGAAGAAUAAGGUUAAAAUAGUUCUUGUUACCUGGUUCAUUCUUCUGCCUUAAUUUAGGCUGUCGUUUUUUUAUUUGACUUUAGGAAGACUUUCCUGAUGGGCUUUCCUGGAUCUGGCUUUAUCCUGCCUCCGCUAAGCUACCACAUACUCUUUUUAAUAAAUGAAGCAUGAUUAUGACACUGUCCUGCAUAAAGGCCUACAGUGUCCUUUCUUUGCCAAGAAGCUAAAGUCUGAACUCUUUAAGGAUGGCCCUUCAUCAUAUGGCCCUUUGCUAUUUCUAGAAUUUUAUCUCCAUCAUUGGCCAUAUACUUUUACUUGUAGCUCAUGAUAAACUCUUGACAUUAAAAGCUUCCUUGCUUUUAUUCAUUCUGAACCCACUGCUCUCUUUCUCCUCUUUUCUGCCUGACCACUUCCUGUAUAUCCUUCAAGACUUGGCCCAAGUUGCUAUUCUCUGUGAAAUGUUCCCUGGCUGUCUCACAGACAGAGUCAGAUUAUCCCAGAGCAGCUACACUAUACCACUGUGAAAGGGUUUAUCACAGUGUAUUGUAAUCACUUGCUUACUUGACAGUUUUCAUACCAGACUAUGAGCUUAUUCCAAGUGGAAAUUUUUAUCUUUUUUUAAAGCAUAAGCCCAGCAUACUAAGUAGUCAAAUGUUUGUUGAGUGUGUUAAUUAUUAAAUGAUUAUAUCUUAAGGAUUGAUCAAGACCUCUUGUUCCAACUUUUCCUACGAUCUUAAGAAAUUCAUGUAAUCCUUUAGAGCUUUAGCUUGCUCAUCCAUAAGAUAGACUUGCCGAUAAAAUUAAUCAUUGAAACACUUAGUAGAUAUUGAAUGCUAUACAAAUUCUAAGAUGGCUUUCUUAAGAAAAACUGAUCCAUAACCUAGUUUUAGUCAGGUUUUCUUAUAUUUAUCUAUUUUAUGCCCUUGUCUAAUCUGGUAACUGCGUUCUUGGUUAUAUUUCCUAUUUUUAUUAGGAUUUUAAUCAAAAUUCUUUGCAAUGCAUGUCACCGAUUUCUAAGUUAUUUAUUAACCUAUGCAGGUUUACAGGGCUAUUCGAAAAAUAACUUCUGUUUGUAUAUGUAUUUGUUUACUUAUCUGAACAACUUACAUAGUUUACUCUUAAACAAAUUACAGACUGUGCUUUCUUGGUACUCUGCAACAUUUAAUUGUCAUGCAUGCUUUGUCCACAAUUCAAAUUUGUUUCUUUGGAAACAAAAUUUUACAAAGGUUUUGUGCUUUGACCAGGUAUAGAAGCUUUUGCUAAUUGGUGGGAACAGUGUAAUAGUGAUGUAGUUGUUACCUCAGGAGGAAGAUGUAUGUAAUGUGUACACAGUGUGUACACUGAGUAAUUCAGCAUUUUUCUCUGCUUAGACAAAGGUCUAUGUUAAGUUUUUCUCACACCACAUUAACACAUAGCCAGAGGGUCACGUACUGAUCUAUACUGUACUUGUACUCAAUUUGUAUAUUCGUAAGUGCUCUAUAGUCUGCUUUCAGGCAGUUUUCAAGUAAAUGUUUGUUGCUGCUACUUUCAGGUAUCUAUUUUCCAAUUUAGUUUUGUUUUCAUCAUUCCUUUAUAUUUCCUCCUUAUCCUUGAAUAUGGUUGAUCCCAGUCUUCUAGAGGAUAUAUCAGAACAUAGAGAAGGGAGAAUUAUGACAAAAGAAUGUUGAUUUUUAGGAUUGAUUAAACUCUUUGCCAGGCUACAAAUGCUUUAUAGGUUGUCAAUUUUAAGACAUUAGAUUUCAACCCCAUUAUGACCCAUAUCUCUGAUUACCAGAAAGAUAAUUUGUCCUUAGCCAUUAAUGGAAUUUAUUUUAGCCAGUAUUAAUAGGCCAAUGUGGAACAAAUUACAUAAUUUUUCCCUUAGUUUUUUAGAUGACCAAGAAUAGUAUAAGUUAUAAGUAACUUCUUUUGUAGCUUAAUUUAAUGGCUGUAAAAUAUCCAGAGUCUAAGAUAAACAUGGAUGAAAAAAGUAGUACUAUUGAGGAGGCAAAUAUUUCUCUUCACCCUUCUAAAAUUGGGCACCUAUGUUUAAAAAUAAUGCAUUUUUUAGCUUUUGUCUUGAAUUUUUGGCUGAGUAGAUCCUUGUCUGACCUUUCCCAAGGUACCUUCUUUGUAUUCCCUUCCUUAUCGAAACCAUUUUAUAAAAGAAAUUCAACCUAGUUGGUUGAGAGGAGGGAGGCAGUAGUUACUCAGGUAAGGUAGAGAAUAGCUUGGGUACAGAUGACAGAUUGUUAUCUUCAAACCCUUUUCCCAUUUUUCUUAAAUCUUUAGUUUCUUCCUCUUUGGAAGCCAAAGUAAAGGGUCCCCUAUUAAAUCAUAGAAUUGUAGAAACCUAAAAGGUGAUCUGGGUUCAUCUCCAUGUUUCUGCACAUGAGCCAUACUCAUUCCAGUUGGAGCAGGCAUUUUUAUUUUUAGAAUUUGAAAAAGAAAAAUCAAUAUACUGCCCUAGAAGCUCAUGGAAUGUUUGUCAGCUUUUGGUAUUGAGAAAUUUUUCUGUCAUAAGUAAAUUUACCUGUGUAAUGAAUAUCGUAUCUUCCUGAGUCUCAUCAAUUUGAGGUUACUCAAAAAACCUUUUACAUUUCGGCCCUUAAAGAAAAUAUUCAUUUAUUUCUAACACUUAUUAUUUUCCCUGCUUGAAUGAUUAAAUUCUAGUCCAGUUUUAUCUUUUAGGAUAUUCUAGGGUUAACGAGUCAUUAUUCUGAAAAUUUAUUCUCACUGUACAGUAAUGUUGAUGCAAAUUAUGAUGAUUAUGUCAUGUAUCUGCUAGCCUUGGGAAAUCUCCCAGAAAUUGUUUCAAAACCCUUAAAUAAUCUAUUUUUAAAAGUGUUUUUCUCUUUAUUAUAAAAAUAAAAUAUGAGAGGUAGUAGUUAGCAAAGAGUUUAUGUUUUGUUUUUAUUUAACUAGGGUUCUCCUAUAAUAAGUUAUUCUUCAUGCUUUAAUUGGAGCAUAAUUCCUGUUCCCCUCCCACCCCCACAAAGAGAUUAAGUAUAGCUGAUUGGUUCCUGCAUGAACUAUUUAGCUAUGUUUUGGUCACAGACUGAGCUGCAAAUACUAGCCAUAUAUUGCACAAAUGUUUGAUACCAUUUGAUCACAAAGGGGAUCAAGCAAGAGACUAUGUGCAGACUGGUAUAAAUUCCUUACACUUUAAACAGAAAGUGUAUUUUCUCUAAAAGGUAGCUCAUUUAUUCAUUUGUAAAAUGAGGAUAAUGAGGUACCUUUUCUCUAAAAAGUAAAGUGAGGAUGAAAAGGGUACCCACUUUAGAGGGUUAGUGUGUGGAAUAAGUGAAAUAGUGAGUGCAAGGAACUUUUUCUUCAGACACACUCUUCUGAAACUUCUUAGAAUUAAUCUACUUCUCACUGAUUUUAGGGCUCCUGAACGGAUGUAAAAUACAGGUUACUUUUUCCUUCUACCCGUGGUUCUCCCUCCUGGAUACUCUUUUGGCAUGACUUCUGGAGCUCUAAAAAGAAAGAUUUUCAGGUUGCAACCCUGAAGCUUGUCCCACCUAUGAAGCUUCUGAUUCAAUUAUUAUGGUGGAAACUUGGAAUCAGUAUAUAUUAAAUUCUGUCAGUGAUUCUGAUGGGUAGCCAGGGUUGAGAUAAUGGUUCAUACUAUGUUUAUGUUCAUAAUAGUUACAUUUAUUAAAUGAUUUUGUGCCAUUAAGCUAUUCAGUAAAUAAGUGCCCAGUACACAGUAGUGAACUAGGUAAGUACUAUAUCUGCUUUUAUAGAGCUUACAUGCUAUUGGAGGGUAGGUAGGGAAACAAGUUUCAAAAAUAUGUGUCAAUUGCUAUGCUAAGCACUUUACAUGUAUAUCUCAUUUAAUCCUACCAACAGUCCUGUAAAAUAGAUGGGAACUGUUUUCCCUAUUUUACAAAUGAGGAAACUGAGAUUUGGAAAGGUUAAGUAACUUGUCUGAAACCGCACAGCUAGGAAAUGUUGGAACCUCGUUUAAACCCAAGUUUUUCGACUCUAAAACUAAUCCUAACUACUUUUUUCUCCUUUUCUUACAACUUUUACUUAUUGCAUUGCCUGGCUGUUGCUUAAUACAUUUGCUGGACAUCUAGCAUUUAUUUCAUACUUGUUUAAGCUGAUCCUUCUCACAGAUUGUACCAACUAGUCUUCAGUUUUCUUUAUUCAUGUUUUUUCCUGGUUUUGUUUAUGAUGUAUAAAUAUGGUAUAUUGGAAAGAACAAUGGCUCUGAGUUUUAAAUCCCAGAGUUGACCUUUGUAACUGUAAAGCCUUAAUCAAAUUAUUUAACAUUUCUUAGCCUAAGUUUUCUCACGUAUUAAAAUGAAAGUAGUAUUAUCUUGCAAGUUGUUUUUGGAAUUUAAUGAAAUAAACUAUAUCAUAAAAGACUAGUACUAUGCAGACCAAAUAGUUAAGGUCAGUAAUGAUCAUUUUCUUUUUUUCCUUUUUGUCUACCAAGUUGCUAGCUAAAUCCUUAAGUAGAUGAUCUUGUUUUCCCUUUCAUUAUAUAGUUCUGGAUUUUUUUUGUUUGUUUUUAAGUAAACAUAUUUUAAAGUUUGGUACAUCUUUGAACCAAAUUGAAACUGUUUUCUAAGUGAUUGUGAUAAUGCAAUCAAAUUUAAAACAUGAAUUGUUAUCAUGUGAUUUUUAACCUUUAAUUAGCCUUAAUAUUGUGCUAAGAAUGAGAGGAAAGAGACAAAGAGAAUUAUGUGACCUAAUCUCAACUGUUUAAGAAAUGUCAUCUAAACUAUCUUUUCCCUACUUACCAAAGGGAACACCACAUAGAGCA